rnacentral:rRNA from 1 species
CGCGCAAGCGGUCCAUUCAGUCGCUGGUGAAAGCCCCACGCUCAACGUGGGAAGGUCCGGCGAGACGGGUGGACUGGAGGCAGGGAGAGGUCGGUGGAAUUCCGGGUGUAGUGGUGAAAUGCGUAGAGAUCCGGAGGAACACCAGAGGCGAAGGCGGCCGACUGGACCUGACCUGACGCUGAGGCGCGAAGGCGUGGGGAGCGAACG